GCCCCGGUAGCUCAACGUGUAGAGCGGCAGCCUAUUUUAGGCGGCGUGUCGAUGGUUCAAAUCCAUCCCGGAGCACCA
rnacentral:tRNA from 1 species